GCUCCGGUGGCCUAGUGGUUUGAGCGUCCGCCUAUGAUGCGGAAGUCGUGGGUUCGAUCCCCAGUUGAGUCA